GUUUUACUCUCUAACCCUUCAUUAGAAAAAGAUGAAUAAUCUGAACCCUUCUUGUGCCUCCAUCCCUCUUGAAUAAGCAAAACUUCAACCCUUCACGCUUCUUUCUUUUUCUCUAUCAUGAAUUUUGCUUUUGUCUUCUCUCUGUUUCCAUAGUCUGUUUUAAUUUCUUUUUUCUAUACUCAUUAUUUAGCAAAUUUCUACAGAUUACGUUCAAAAUAUUUUCUCUACGAAGCAAAAUGGCAGACAUCUUUUCUAUGUUAGAUCUGGAAAAUUUAGUAACCAUACAUAUUGGGAGUUUCUGUUAAGUUCCGAAUUUUGAGUUGUCUCUCAUAAUCUACCUCAUUUUUUCUCUCUAAUUCUUAACAAGAAAUUCGAGCCCUAAGAUCUGGGAAUUGCUUUUGAGAAUGACCUUCAUGCGAGAUUAGUGCAAAUGAUGAAGAUUGCCGAAGAACAUAGACGAAUUUUGAGUUCGACAUGAGGAUUUUUUUUAAGGUAAUUAACUAAAAUUUCAUUUCCGUUUUUAAUUUUUGAUUUCUGUGUUUUUUUUUUUUUGAAAAAUAGUUGGAUCUGGGAUUUUUAUUCUUAGAUUUUUGUAAAGAUUUGAAAUUGUUUUAUGAUUUCAUUUUCUGCUUGUGUAUUGUUGCUUCAAGAUUGUAGAAGAAUAUAGAAGAAUUUUGAGAAAAAUUCACUAAAAAUCGGACAUCAGACACUUUACAAGUGAAAUGCUCUCAGAUCUGGAAGUUUGCGCGAAAAGGAAGAUGGAGGCACAAGAAGGUUAUUUGGGAUAACUAAACCCGCUGUUCGUCGAUUGACUCGAUGCAGUGCAAAGAGGCAGGGAUUUACAUUUUGGGGGUCAUAUAGGGUUCGAUUUUAGGUUUUGGUUUUCUAGAUUUCAUGUAAAUGCAAAUUGUUUGGCUUUUGCUAAUAUGCAAUUAGAGUUAUUUUUUAUUUCUUUGUUAGGUGUAAGAUAAAUUUUCAACUCCCUUGUUUAAUUUCAAUUGAGUGGUGGGUUUAUCUUUUGAUUUUAGUGAUGAAUUUAGUUUUCAAUCUUGUUAUGGGGUGGAAACAAAAUGAAUGAGUUUUUGAUAAGGAAUUUUGAAGAGUUAAAGAUUGAAACUUCUCUAAUUUUAAAGCCAAAUCAGUGUUGUGAAAUGAAUGGUGUAAAUUUCUUAAGUUGAUAAAAAUCCUUGAAAUUGUGGUUGUGCUAAAUAUCCACGUUAGAAGUUGAAGUUGAGGUUGAGUUGGAGACAAUUUGUGAAAAUUAUGUGCUAUGGACUAGUUAAGUGAGCUUAAUGUAGAUAUACGUUAGUUCUCCUAUAGUCCUAUGUAUUAUAAUGGGAAAUUCAGAUUAAUCUUAA